rnacentral:rRNA from 1 species
AGAGUUUGAUCAUGGCUCAGGAUGAACGCUGGCGGCGUGCCUAAUACAUGCAAGUCGAACGAGAGAUUAGCAAUAGUCUCUAGUGGCGAACGGGUGAGUAACGCGUUGGUGACCUGCCCCAAAGAUAGGGAUAACCCCACGAAAGGGGGGCUAAUACCGAAUAAUGACAUCGGAGUUAGAGAGCGAUGUGGAAAGCAGCAAUGCGCUUUGGGAUGGGCCUGCGUCCCAUCAGCUAGUUGGUAAGGUAACGGCUUACCAAGGCGACGACGGGUAGGGGGCCUGAGAGGGUGACCCCCCACACUGGAACUGAAACACGGUCCAGACACCUACGGGUGGCAGCAGUAGGGAAUAUUGGUCAAUGGGCGAAAGCCUGAACCAGCAACGCCGCGUGAGUGAUGAAGGCCUUCGGGUCGUAAAGCUCUUUUCUGGGGGAAGAGGAAGGACAGUACCCCAGGAAUAAGGUUCGGCUAACUACGUGCCAGCAGCCGCGGUAAAACGUAGGAACCGAGCGUUAUCCGAAUUUACUGGGCGUAAAGCGCAUGUAGGCGGUUCGAAAAGUUGGAUGUGAAAGCUCCCGGCUCAACUGGGAGAUGCCGUUCAAAACUAUCGGGCUUGAGUGCGGUAGAGGGAGGUGGAAUUCCCGGUGUAGUGGUGAAAUGCGUAGAUAUCGGGAGGAACACCAGAGGCGAAAGCGGCCUCCUGGACCGUAACUGACGCUGAGAUGCGAAAGCCAGGGGAGCAAACGGGAUUAGAUACCCCGGUAGUCUUGGCUGUAAACGAUGCAGACUAGGCGUUGGCGGGGUAAAACCCGUCGGUGCCGAAGCAAACGCGAUAAGUCUGCCGCCUGGGGAGUACGGUCGCAAGAUUAAAACUCAAAGGAAUUGGCGGGGGCCCGCACAAGCAGCGGAGCGUGUGGUUUAAUUCGAUGCUACACGAAGAACCUUACCCAGGUUUGACAUACAGGUGGUAGGAAUCCGAAAGGUGACCGACUCGUAAGAGAGCCUGAACAGGUGCUGCAUGGCUGUCGUCAGCUCGUGUCGUGAGAUGUUCGGUUAAGUCCGCUAACGAGCGCAACCCUCGCUGCGUGUUACAAGUGUCACGCGGGACCGCCGGUAUCAAGCCGGAGGAAGGUGGGGAUGACGUCAAGUCAGCAUGGCCUUUAUAUCUGGGGCUACACACACGCUACAAUGGUCGGUACAAUGGGUCGCUAAGCCGCGAGGUAGAGCCAAUCCCCAAAGCCGGCCUCAGUUCAGAUCACAGGCUGCAACCCGCCUGUGUGAAGUCGGAGUUGCUAGUAAACGCGCGUCAGCUAUAGUGCGUUGAAUACGUUCUCGGGCCUUGUACACACCGCCCGUCACGUCAUGGGAGCUGGUAACACCUGAAGCCGGUAGCCUAACCGAAAGGAGGGCGCUGUCGAGGGUGGUGCUGGUGACUGGGACGAAGUCGUAACAAGGUAGCC